AUUCUAUGUAAAGUGCUUUCGAAGAGUCGAGUUGUUUGGGAAUGCAGCUCUAAGUGGGUGGUAAAUUCCAUCUAAAGCUAAAUAUUGGCGAGAGACCGAUAGCGAACAAGUACAGUGAUGGAAAGAUGAAAAGAACUUUGAAAAGAGAGUGAAAAAGUACGUGAAAUUGUUGAAAGGGAAGGGCUUGAGAUCAGACUUGGUAUUUUGCGAUCCUUUCCUUCUUGGUUGGGUUCUCCGCAGCUUACUGGGCCAGCAUCGGUUUGGAUGGUAGGAUAAUGAUUAAGGAAUGUGGCUCUACUUCGGUGGAGUGUUAUAGCCUUGGUUGAUACUGCCUGUCUAGACCGAGGACUGCGUCUUUGACUAGGAUGCUGGCAUAAUGAUCUUAAGCCACCCGUCUUGAAACACGGACCAAGGAGUCUAACGUCUAUGCGAGUGUUUGGGUGUAAAACCCGUACGCGUAAUGAAAGUGAACGUAGGUGAGAGCUCUUAAGAGUGCAUCAUCGACCGAUCCUGAUGUCUUCGGAUGGAUUUGAGUAAGAGCAUAGCUGUUGGGACCCGAAAGAUGGUGAACUAUGCCUGAAUAGGGUGAAGCCAGAGGAAACUCUGGUGGAGGCUCGUAGCGGUUCUGACGUGCAAAUCGAUCGUCGAAUUUGGGUAUAGGG
rnacentral:rRNA from 1 species